AGAAGUGCCUUUAUAAGAGUUACUGAUGGCGUCAUCGCCCUACUGGAACCAGAUGCCCUCACCAACCUCCAUGCAAUUGAAGAUGAUGGAGAAACAUUGUCUGCGGCACUUGAAAGGGA